GAUGAACGCUGGCGGCGUGCCUAAUACAUGCAAGUCGAGCGAACAGACGAGGAGCUUGCUCCUCUGACGUUAGCGGCGGACGGGUGAGUAACACGUGGAUAACCUACCUAUAAGACUGGGAUAACUUCGGGAAACCGGAGCUACUACCGGAUAAUAUAUUGAACCGCAUGGUUCAAUAGUGAAAGACGGUUUUGCUGUCACUUAUAGAUGGAUCCGCGCCGCAUUAGCUAGUUGGUAAGGUAACGGCCUACCAAGGCAACGAUGCGUAGCCGACCUGAGAGGGUGAUCGGCCACACUGGAACUGAGACACGGUCCAGACUCCUACGGGAGGCAGCAGUAGGGAAUCUUGCGCAAUGGGCGAAAGCCUGACGGAGCAACGCCGCGUGAGUGAUGAAGGUCUUCGGAUCGUAAAACUCUGUUAUUAGGGAAGAACAAAUGUGUAAGUAACUAUGCACGUCUUGACGGUACCUGAUCAGAAAGCCACGGCUAACUACGCG
rnacentral:rRNA from 1 species